rnacentral:pre_miRNA from 1 species
UUGUGACCGUUGUUACGGUCGAAUUCCAUUUGAAACUGACCGUAAUCCCGUUCACAACA